rnacentral:rRNA from 1 species
AGAGUUUGAUCCUGGCUCAGGAUGAACGCUGGCAGUGUGCCUAAGACAUGCAAGUCGAACGAAGCGCUUGAGUGGAACCCUUCGGGGGGAAGCUUGAGUGACUUAGUGGCGAACGGGUGAGUAACACGUGGGUGACCUGCCCCGAAGUGGGGGAUAACAGUUGGAAACGAUUGCUAAUCCCGCAUGUGCUUGCGCUUUAUGGAGUGUAAGUAAAGAUUGAUCGUUUCGGGAUGGGCCCGCGGCACAUCAGCUAGUUGGUGGGGUAAAGGCCUACCAAGGCGACGACGUGUAGCCGACCUGAGAGGGUGACCGGCCACAGGGGUACUGAGACACGGACCCCACUCCUACGGGAGGCAGCAGUUAGGAAUCUUCGGCAAUGGGGGAAACCCUGACCGAGCAACACUGCAUGAGGGAUGACGGCCUUCGGGUUGUAAACCUCUGAACCAGGGACGAAAAUGACGGUACCUGGGUAAUAGCACCGACUAACUCCGUGCCAGCAGCCGCGGUAAUACGGAGGGUGCGAGCGUUAUCCGGAAUCACUGGGCGUAAAGGGCACGUAGGCGGUCUGUUAAGUCCGAUGUUAAAGCGUGGGGCUCAACCCCAUCAUGGCGUUGGAUACUGGCAGGCUUGACUUCUGGAGAGGAAAGUGGAAUUACCAGUGUAGCGGUGAAAUGCGUAGAUACUGGUAGGAACACCCAUAGCGAAGGCAGCUUUCUGGACAGAUAGUGACGCUGAGGUGCGAAAGUGUGGGGAGCAAACCGGAUUAGAUACCCCCGUAGUCC